AAGACUAUAGACCUGCGGAGUACCUGCGGAAGGAUCAUUAAAGAGAAAACUGCCCUUUGGGUAGAUCUCCCACCCUUUGUUUACCUUACCUUUGUUGCUUUGGCAGGCCCGUCUUCUGACCACCGGCUUUAGCUGGUCCGUGCCUGCCAGAGGACCCCAAACUCUUAAUUUUAAGUUGUCCGAGUCUUAUAAAAUAGUAAAAACUUUUAACAAUGGAUCUCUAGAUCGGAAGAGCACACG
rnacentral:misc_RNA from 1 species